UCUAGAUCAUUUCCCGCUCCUAUAGUUCUUCCCGCUCAGUAUGUAACCCAUGCCCUAAUUUUUAGAUCUGCCUCUCAAAUAAUCCAAGCAACUCUCUCUUUCUCAAUAUUUCGAGCACUUCAGAUCAAACUCUUUCUCUAUCUCCAUUUCGAGCAGCCACAAGUCAAUAAGAGAGCCGGCUCUUCUUCAUCACAAGUAAAGCCCUAAUUUUGAAAAUUAUUGAAUGCAAAAUCAGAUUCAUAAUUGAUCCAACUGAAGAAUCGGUAUGCAUAUAGGGUUAAUUUACAAAUACGUGUGUUUAUCUGAGUAUAUUUGUUUUGUUUAUGUGAUUAGUGAAAGAAUCGAUGGGGUUUGCAAUUUCUAGGUUUCUUCUUGUCGGUUAUUUAAUACUUAAUCGUAGUUCUUACUGUUUCUUCAUAUUGUAGUUUAUUUUUCAUGUGAUUGGUGACUUAGGGAAGGCUCGUUUUCACCCUCGCAUUAGUGCAAUGCUCUUCAACGAACAGGCUACUCUUGACCCUUGCAAUCAUGCAUUAGUAUUGGUCUCCUUCUCUCAUUUUGGAUAGUCGGACGGGUCAGCGGGUCAAGCACAUGCAUAUAGGAAGAUAUCUAAUUGGCAAUGGUCGUGUAUGCUGCAUGAAGUGGUACUAGCAUGAGGGUUAAACUGAAUUGGGUCAACGUUAGGUUCAUGAGAGAGAUAGCAUACGACGGAGUUCAAAUGGUAGACAAUGACAAUGUAAGUUUCGGCAAAUUUUUACAUGCAUGUGAGGAAUUGACCAGAUUGAAGUUUAGGCAAAUGUUUACGCGCAUUGACAAUGUAAGUAGACAAUGACAAUGUAAUGUGGCUACUAGUACACACCAAUUUUUUCAACCUUCACUAUUUGCGUAUGAUUCUAUCAAGCUCCGAAGAUGAAGAUGAUGUGAGGACGAGAUGGAAUUUUGGUUUUUGCCUAAAGUGGUUGCGUUCUUUAUGAACCAACGUAAAGACACCGCCACAUCUUACUCAAUAAGGUGGUGCCAUGAUAUUGGUGGUGAGCAUGCUACAAAUAAGCCUAUGAUAAAAACCGUUUUCUAGGUAUAUACUUUUAGAUCUUUGUUUUGUUCUUCUAUUUAAUUGGAAGCUUUUAACAAUCUACUUUAGACUUUUCCUUUUUUGAGGUCAUGAUAAGAUUAUUUGGUCUAUGCAAAACAACAUUAGUUUUUGUUUUGCUAUACGCGAUACAACAAUAGUAAGUGCGGUCUACACACGUAUGUUAUAGAUAGAGUAAGUGUGAUAAAGCAAAUUGUCAUGUUUAGUUGUAUUAGAUUUUUUCAUUAUUGAGGAAUUGACCAGAUUGAAGAAGUUGUUGCUCUUUCUAGCUACGAAGAGAAGGAAGAAUAGUUCAAAGAACAGGUGAAGAUGAUCGAAGUGAGUAGGAAAUCUGGGCAUGCUACACAAGCAAAUGGUGAAGGAGGUUCACUCGCAUAGUUUAAUGAAAUAUUGUAUUUUUGUUAGUAUUUUUUUGAAAUAUUGCAUGAAAUAUUGGUUUGUUAGUAUCAACAUUAAUGAAAUAUUGUUAACUUUGUUAUUUGAAAUAUUGAAUGAAAUGGGUUGUUUUGAUA